AUUGCAUAAAGUUUAAGAUGUGUGUCUACUUUUCCUUCCGUGGAUGAGAGUAGGAAAUCACACCAUGGGUUCUUAGUGUGUAAUUCUCAGCUGGUUUAGUCCAUGUGCAGAAUUCUUAACAUGUCGGUGGUAAGAAUUUUUAACACUCCAACUGUACAUUUGCCUUUGGGGUACACUGUGGGCAUGAGGAAAUGGAAAAUUCUAGCAUUCGCUGAUUGCUUUCUAUGUGCAGAGCCUCUGCAGCCCACUUUCAUAAUUUUCUCAUUUAAUUUUCACAGAAAUCAAUUAGAUAGACAUCUUCAUUGUUACAUACUCAGUAAGGAAAUAUUUCAAUGACUAUUCACAGAGCCUUUGCUUUUCCCUGGGACUGUUCUAGGUACUGGAGAACAGUGUGGCUCAAAACACACACACUUUGGCCCUAUUUGGUUUACAUUCUAGGGAGGGGGAGAGAUAAUAAAUAAAGGGACAAACAAAUGCACAAUAUGACAUCAUCCAACAGUAAGUACAUGAGGAACUUGCAGCAGGAUGGGGGGAUGGAGUCAUCUGGAGGGGACAGCAUGUGAGUGGGGGCCUAUUUUGCAUAAAGCAGUCAGAAGAUGCCUCCUUGAGCAGACUUGCAAAAGUGACAGGAAGAGCCGGUCUUAGAACAAUCACUUCUUUCAGAAGAGGACACUGCCAACCAGGAAAGCAGACGGCAGUCAGAACUUGCCUUUACGGCAGAAAAUGAAGUGACAUCUAUGAUCUAUGGCUGGAGCCGAAUCAGGAGGAUUUGGAAGAAGGCUGGACUUUCUGGGCGAAUAAGAAAAGCACAUCCCCCCACUGGCUCCCAUUGCUGAGACACACACUAGCAGCCACAGGCUCCACUAACAAGCCGACAAGGGAUGCCGUCCUCCGCACCGCAGACUCACCUGCUCCAUAGAACCAAAGGGUACUCUGGAAGGCUUAUAGAGAAAUGAGAGAUUGAGAGAAAACUCAUGAGAGUAUCAAGAAGAUGGAACCAUUUAUGAAACAGCAAAGCUCAUAUAUAAUUGAGCAAGGACAAUGGAAAGUAGUUUGAAUUGCAAUAUAAUUCUGUAAGAAUACAAUGUACAUUGCCAGUAGCUGAGUGUUGCAAGCCAAAUUCAAAGCAAACAAAUAAAGAAGUAAAUAAAAAUUUAAAGCCAUUAAGUGGAAAAAUAUUAUCAUGAAUGACUGAUAUGAUUACAUUUGAAUUUUUAAAAUGAUGUCAUUAGAAGGAUGCAGGAUAAAGCCAAGAAGAAAGGAGUUACGAGUCUACUACAGUAGUUUGGGUUCUGUCGGUAUUUGCUCUUUAGUCAAAACUGGUCCUUUAUUUACUAUACAUUCCCUCUUCCCUGCUAUCUUCUGUUCUCUUUUUU